AACGAACGCUGGCGGCAUGCCUAGCACAUGCAAGUCGAACGAGACCUUCGGGUCUAGUGGCGCACGGGUGCGUAACGCGUGGGAACCUGCCCUUAGGUUCGGAAUAACUCCCCGAAAGGGGUGCUAAUACCGGAUAAUGUCUUCGGACCAAAGAUUUAUCGCCUUUGGAUGGGCCCGCGUUGGAUUAGUUAGUUGGUAGGGUAAAAGCCUACCAAGGCGACGAUCCAUAGCUGGUCUGAGAGGAUGAUCAGCCACACUGGGACUGAGACACGGCCCAGACUCCUACGGGAGGCAGCAGUGGGGAAUAUUGGACAAUGGGCGAAAGCCUGAUCCAGCAAUGCCGCGUGAGUGAUGAAGGCCUUAGGGUUGUAAAGCUCUUUUACCCGGGAUGAUAAUGACAGUACCGGGAGAAUAAGCUCCGGCUAACUCCGUG
rnacentral:rRNA from 1 species